rnacentral:rRNA from 1 species
CAGUCGCCACGGUAACACGUAGGGUGCAAGCGUUAAUCGGAAUUACUGGGCGUAAAGCGUGCGCAGGCGGUUAUAUAAGACAGAUGUGAAAUCCCCGGGCUCAACCUGGGAACUGCAUUUGUGACUGUAUAGCUAGAGUACGGCAGAGGGGGAUGGAAUUCCGCGUGUAGCAGUGAAAUGCGUAGAUAUGCGGAGGAACACCGAUGGCGAAGGCAAUCCCCUGGGCCUGUACUGACGCUCAUGCACGAAAGCGUGGGGAGCAAACAGGAUUAGAUACCCCCGUAGUCCCUGUCUCUUAUAC